GACGAACGCUGGCGGCGUGCUUAACACAUGCGAGUCGAACGGAAAGGCCCUGCUUUUGUGGGGUGCUCGAGUGGCGAACGGGUGAGUAACACGAGAGUAACCUGCCCUAGACUUUGGGAUAACUUCAGGAAACUGGGGCUAAUACAGGAUAGGAGCCCAUGUUGCAUGGAGGGGGUGGGAAAGUUUCGGCGGUUGGGGAUGGACGCGCGGCUUAUGAGCUUGUUGGUGGGGGAGGGGCUUACCAAGGCUUUGACGGGUAGCCGGCCUGCGAGGGUGACCGGCCUCCUUGCGACUAAGAUACGGCCCAGUCUCCUACGUUAGGCAGCAGUGGGGAGUCUUGCACAAUCGGCGCAAGCCUGAUGCAGCAGCGCCGCGUUCGUGAUGACCGCCUUCGGGUUGUAAACCGCUUUCGCCUGUUACGAAGCGUUAGUGACGGUAAUGGGUGAAGAAGCACCGGCUAACUACGUG
rnacentral:rRNA from 1 species